rnacentral:rRNA from 1 species
UACGUAGGGUGCGAGCGUUGUCCGGAAUUAUUGGGCGUAAAGGGCUCGUAGGCGGUUUGUCGCGUCGGGAGUGAAAACACCGGGCUUAACUCGGUGCUUGCUUUCAAUACGGGCAGACUAGAGGUAUGCAGGGGAGAACGGAAUUCCUGGUGUAGCGGUGAAAUGCGCAGAUAUCAGGAGGAACACCGGUGGCGAAGGCGGUUCUCUGGGCAUUACCUGACGCUGAGGAGCGAAAGUGUGGGGAGCGAACAGG